UGCGGGGUAGAGCAGUUGGCAGCUCGUCGGGCUCAUAACCCGGAGGUCGGAGGUUCGAGUCCUUCCCCCGCUA
rnacentral:tRNA from 1 species